rnacentral:lncRNA from 1 species
UUAUGUUAGAGGUCAUUGACUGUUUGAGAACCGUCUUUAUGUAGCGAGAAACCCAGAGUGGAGUGAUGCUUCUUAUUCGGAUUCGAAAUUUAACCUCAUUUCAGUUGUAACUUGUAGAUUGCUUAAAUAUUCAUGUGUCUAUAAGAAACGAGCCUUCUUUUUCAAUAAUGUUUACGCCUCUUGUCAAUGUUCUUAGCUUCCCGCGCAGGACUUUUUAAAUUCGCUAAAAGUUUAUUUGUGACAUAGGUUCACCAAAGUUUUGUGUUUUGUUUUAACAUUACUUUGUGAGCGAAUGUCAACAUCACACCACGUUAAUAUUAUUUACACGUUGAAUACAGCCAAACUCAGUUAAUGCUGUAAUUUAUUUCAAGUAGCCAGAUGUGUUAACUGAAAAUAAGAUAAUGCCAAGGUGCCCCACGCUCAUUGAAUUUGAAGAUACCGACUAAAAAAGCACACGGGGAGGUCCAACCUUUGUACUCGGAUUGACUAGUCACUGAGCAGAAAUUAUUUUUUCUGCUGGAACUAUGAAGUACAACAUUAGAAUCUGGACGUUGAUUACUUUAAACACCUGGAACUACAUACAAAAUCUACAUAUGCACUGAGCUUCAGGUAGAAGAUAUGGAUGUUAUCUAUUCUCUGCUCUUGAUCUACAACUUGGAAUGAAAGGUGCUCAGGGGACCAUUGAGGUGUGCAACAUGAAAUUUAAAUAAAAGUACAGUAUGACAUUGUCAAAAUAUGUCAUAGCUGAUUGUAUUUUUUACAUUAUCUUUGAGAAACUGAUAUUUUUCAUUUUAGCUCAACGUUUGUGUAAGCUUAGAGCUGAGUAUAUGUGCUGCCUCUCAGCAAUUUUCUUAUACAAUCAAGAAAGUAAAAAAAAAAAAAAAUAAAAAUAAUAUAUAUAUAUAUAUAUAUAUAUAUACUAGUUUGUUAACAUAGAGGAUUAGUUCUGAUGUUUUUUCAGUUUGAUAUAACAAGAUAAUUAGUUUGUUAAGAUUAAUAUAGACUUCUACCUGUUCUUUGGCAAUUCUUAUUAUUCUUUACUUUAAUUACAAUCAACUUGUUGGUAACUCGCUGCUGUAUAACAAGAUUGAGAAUUAUUUUAAAUUUAUAAGUUCAAGAUAUAAAAAAAGUGCAUUUGCUCACUUGAUUAAGCUGAAUGUUAAAAGGAGACAAUCAAGACUUUUAUUGAAUAUUUGAUUUCCAUUUCUGUGGUUUUCCAUUGUGUUCAUUUCUUUAUGACAGCAAACGUCUGUACGUAUAUAUGAAUUUGCAUUGCAACAUAAAAGUUCCACAAAAUAAGCAGCUCUCAAACAAUUUAUAAAAUGAGACUAUAAUUUCUUUAAACAAAUCUGUUUAUUAUUAAUUGAUAAAACUGUGAAUUUUCAGGUCAUAAAAUAUUUUUUCUUGAAAAUAGAUAUUUUAGAACUAUUAAGGAUUAUAUAGGAUUACAAACAGAUUUGGCUUAAUCUGUUUUUCACAGAUACUUUUUAUGUCCAUAAAUGAACUCCAGAUAAUUCAUGUUGUUCCUAUCAACUUACUGUAAGAUAUAAAUAUCAGAGCAAGAAAAUAUAAAAUUAACUUGGACAAUUUUUUCCAAAAAUGAUAACACGAGUACGUUGAAUAAAGCAAUUUAUUUUCAGAAAGCUAUUUCAAUAAAAUGUCAAAUAUAUUUACUGAUACAUGUAUGUAAAAAUAAAGGAAUAAACUAAGAAGUCACUCAAACAAUUGUGUUUCAAAAGAAAACUUGUUUAAUAAUUUACAGGCUUUUAAAUUUCUCUUUUUGCCAUCAUAAGUAAAAUCAAAUUAUACUUUAUAGGUAUAUAUAUAAAGUUAUUGCAUUUUUAUUCAGACUUUGCAAUAAAAUUCAUGAACAGUGUAAUAAAUUAAUGAAAUCUUGCUAACAUGCACACUAUCGUGUUCGGCCAAUACAGAUUCACCAGAAACUCAUCAGAAGAUAAGUCUCAUUUUUUUAGUUUAUUCUUAUAUCAGUAAAUAAGCUCACCUAUAAAAAUUAGUUCACAAUUCUUUCAUUGUGUUUUGUCAUUCUACUUGCUCUACAAGCUCUGUGAAUAUACAUUGUAAUUAGUGUUAAUACUAAACUUCUGAGUUUCAAUGAAGGAUGUGGCUUAACAUGAAAAAAUAACAGUAACUUGUAAUCUUGUUAGAAAAAACAAUAGUAUUUUCGUGAUAAUAACAACAAAUUUGGAAAUUGUCUAAAUGUUUGCAGCUUCAUCAAGUGUUUAUUAUUUAAGCUUUUUAUUUGUAAGUAUUUAAAAAAUAUAGUCUAAACAUUAAGUGAAGUAUUCAUAAUGUGUGUAUAACUAUGUUUAUUCAAAUGUUCAUCCAACACCCGAUAUGUCAUCAGGUUACCACAGGAGUGUUCUAAGAGCAAGUUUAAAUAUCAACAAUAGUUUAGCAGAACACAACAAAUAUAAUAGUAGUAAGCAUAUGCAAACAUAGAUCACUUACAACAAUAUAUUCAAGAAAUACUUUUGCCAACAGAAUGUGCUUGAAAUAUAGUGUUGUACAGUAAAAAAUAAGAGUAAAAGACAUGAAAAAUUAUAUUUGAAGAAACAUUGUAAUUUUUUUAAUACCAGUAACAAAAUUUUAAUCGGUCUAUAAAAUUAUAGAGUUGAAUUAAGUAAAACAAAAUCGACUGUUAUAAACUAAACUUGAUGAGAAAAUGUGGAGAUAUUUCAUUCACUGUCUGAGUAAUGUUAAUACUAUAUUGUUGUGUGUGUGUGUGAAAGGAAAGUUUAUUUUCUUGUUCGUAUUAUUUUACUGUUAAAUAUAAAUAAUAUUAACACAGAUUUGUUUAUAUUAGUAUAAAAAAAUAAAUUAGGAGUGAAUACCAUGGUAUAGACACCAUGAUCUUGAAAAUAUUUGAUAUAUCGUAGUGAUAAUACUAUGUACAAUUGUUACAUAGUUUAUGAUUUUUCAGUUGAGGAUACUUUGUGGUAUUUUAUAUAAAUCCACACUGGGAUAAUUGUGAUACUAAAAGUCUGUUACUAGUCAUGAUGCCUCAAGAUGAUAGUGAGUAUGAAGAAAAUUUAAAUCAAAUUACAUUGUUGUUUAAAAUGGAAAUUGAAAAAGCGAGAAAACUGGAAAAAUUCAUUUCUAUCUAGAGAUUGAAGCAACCAGCAUAAACUGCCCAUUGUAUGAUAGCUGAUAAUUGUAAUUUCUAUGUUAGGCAUGUUACUUUGGGAUAUAUGGAGUAAUGGACUGUAUUUUGUUGGUUAUUACUGUUAAACGGAACAUGUCAAAAGAUUUUUUCUGGACUGAUACAAUUUAUGUAAAUAAAUUUAUUAUUAACUAUGCGAUGUUACAUGUGGAUGUUUUUAACCUGUGUAUCUGUUGCUAAGAUUGCUACAAUGGAUAUUAAAAUUAAAUGAUAUAGAAUAAUAUUUUUUCCCCAUUUCGUAAAUAAUAAAAAAAGCUCUUACAGCUAUUAAUUUAAAUAUUAGAAAGUUUUAAUAAUUCUAGUGAUCAAUUUGAAUUUUGUUAUAUCAAAAUUGUCAUUUUCUUUAGUUAGAAAAAAGUGCAAAGUAUUUUGGAAAAGCAAACAGAAUUUUGGUAUGCUUAUGAUUUAUGAAAAAAAACUAUGACUCCAGUUGAACUGUGGUGCUUUGUAUUAUUUAAUUGUUUAAAUAGGAUUUGGACAUAAUUAAAUACAAGGUAUUUAAUGACAGUUCCUAUAAGUUUCUGAAGUCAAAGACAAGAAUCCAUAGCAUAAUGAAACAGCUUAACAUGGGUGAAAAACAUGUUUUGUGGUUACUAAAGAUAUUUCAUCCACCCUCCAGUCAGCACUAAAUAUAAUUAAUAAUACUGAAACUAAUUAAUGUUUGUGUAGUAAAAACAAAACAGUUUUUAAGUUCUAAAUGAAUAAUCAAAAGGUUUAUCAGACCUACUAAGAAGUUACCUUAGUCGCCAGUUUUCUUUAUUAAUCUGUAUACUAAUCAGUUCAGAAACUGUAGAUGGUUUUUGCACAUCUAGGUAAAACUUAUAGGGAGUUAGAGAGUAUUUAUUAAUAUACAAGGAUAUGGGAUACAAAGUACCUCUCUGAUCUUCCAUUUUGCAACAGGGUUAACAAUAUAUAUGUUCAAUUUGUAUGAUAAUUCUAAAAUAAAAAAUACUGCAAAGGAACAAGCUUCACAUUAUAUAUGUAUAUAUAUUCUUAUGCAAUUUGUUUUUGUGGAAGUCUUAAGUAUGUCAUUAUUACUGCUAUAUAUGUAUUCUCAAUUAUUUUAAAUACAUUUUUACUUCACACUGACUAAUAAUCAUCACUGAUAUUUUUUUUCUUACUAGUUAAAUGUAAGUUUGUUAAGUACAGAUAUCUGGGAAUUCUGUUGUGUAGCAAGUAAUGAAAUUAAUCCUAAAAUUUUUUGGUUUAUAAUGUACAUGUCAAAGGUAACUUAUGUACAUUUGACCAGAAAUGGGCCUUACUUUAUUUCCUAACAUGAUGAUAAAUUUCUAAUAUAUACAUUUUAAUCCAUCUUGUUUGUCUAGAACAAAGUUAUUUUGGGUUGUAUAGGAAAUGUUUUGUCUGACAAGGUCCUGUUAAAAAUGAUUAUUAAAAUUUUUUAUGCAAUCUUAUUGAUUUUACAUUGGCUUGGAUGGUACAUUAGGUUCUUUGUCUUAUAUGUCUGUACAAGUUAUAUAACUACUUAGCACAAAAAAGUUUGUUUAUAUGUGUGUGUGUUAAAUGUACAAGACUGUAGAAAAUUGAAGUUGAAUAAAUAAUGGCUCUUUGGUUUAGUA